GCUGAUACAUCCCUGCCAAUCUCCGGCAGACCCUCCCUCCCAGACCCUCCCACCUCCUGGACAGCAUCCAUGUUGAAGCUGCCUUCAACAUGGAUGCUGUCCAGGAAGUAGGAGGGUCUGGGAGGGAGGGUCUGCUGGAGAUUGGCAGGGAUGUGUCAG